UUAAAGCUCACUACAACGAGCUUUGAGAACAGCUCAGUAUUGUGUGUGUGCGUGUGUGUGUGUUUGCUAUUCCUCUCAUUGAACGGAUGCUGUAAGGCUGAGUGCAGGUUAGGAGAGGAUUUUCUAUACAAAUGCGGGUACAUAUGUAUGUAUGUAUCUGCAAUUGGCGCUCUCCCUCUGUAUCUGUGUCGGUGUCUCUCAGAACAUGGGGUGAAAUUGUGUGUAGACAGAAGCUUUCGUUUUCAUCUCAAUUUCAAUGCUCAGAGUCCUGGGCAACAUAAUUUUUAUUCGGUAGCAUACAAACAGUUUUCUUAAGUUUUUCUAUUUAAUCAUUCCGAUAAAAUAAAACAAUAUUUAGCGUUUUCGCUGGAUUCCAAAAAUCACAAAAAAUAUAUUCAAAUUAAAUGACAAAACAAUGUGCAAAGUUACAUAAAAUUCAGUGUUAGCUAAUUUUAAGAGAUUAACGUGAUCUGGGAGAAGUGUAAAGUUUACAUCAAACGGUAACAUGCAAUGUAAUAGUGAAAAAAAUGAUUCCAA